rnacentral:lncRNA from 1 species
AAUAAAAUGAGCCAACAUUUACAUGCGGUGUUCGGUUUCCUUAGUAUUACCUGGUAUUACUGCGUGGAUGUUUUCAUCGAGUCAUUUCCGAGAUCAUCGCAGGAGUUUGUCGGAUAAACCGCAGACCGACUUUUCUCUAAAAACCUGUCUUCCGGAUUCUAGUGGUUUGAAAACGUCAAGAUCUGUUGAAAUUAGAAAAAGUGAUUUUUGACAAAAGCCAAUGCUUUUCUGAUAUCACCAAAAUUCAUGAAAAGUAAUAGUUUUACCUCAUAAACAUCAUCGAAUUUUACAUGCAAAAGUAUACCUGUACGUACCUUUUAUCUUAAAAUAUAUCUAUAACUGUUAAGUUGUUGGGAAUGAUUCGAGGACUUGUGAUAGUUUUUGGCGAAAAUCAGCGAGGUAAAUUGAUAAAAACAUUUUAUAUUAAUAAUAAUUUAUAAACUGUUUUAUUACCAUUAAUCAUCAAAAAAUAUAUCAUGUAUAUACUAGCUGUAUACUGCGGAUAAUUCUCUCCCGCUUUUUGUAUCGCAGGUACAACGUGUGAUCGUCGGGAUUGCCGCAUCGCAAAUCCUCAGAACUAUAGCCUGCGUAUUUCGUAGAUGAGACCCUAUUUGAAAAUUGUAUACCAGCAAAUCUGAGCUGUUUGUUUACUGUUUAUAAACGGAUCUUGAAUCGA